UCGUGCUAGGCGGGGAGGUAGCGGUGCCCUGUACCCGCAAUCCGCUGCAGCGGGGCUGAACUCCCGCCCGAGGGGGGGCCUUGUGGGGACUGCCCCCGGUAUGGAGCGAUGAUGGCCAGGACCCGCGCAAUAGGAACUUGUGAACCCCGUCAGGUCCGGAAGGAAGCAGCGGUAAGCAAGGCCACCUGUGUGCCGCGGGCAAGCCUGGUCUGAGUCCCCAGCCGAGGUUACGCCCGGAAGACCUGCUUCGACGGCGGGUGCACGA
rnacentral:SRP_RNA from 1 species